rnacentral:rRNA from 1 species
CCAAUAGCGUAUAUUAAGGUUGUUGCAGUUAAAAAGCUCGUAGUUGAAUUUCGGGGUCAGUAGGCUGGUCGUGCCACAGGUAUGCACUGGUCUUACUGAUUCCUCCUUCCUGAUGAACCGUAAUGCCAUUAAUUUGGUGUUGCGGGGAAUCUGGACUGUUACUUUGAAAAAAUUAGAGUGUUUAAAGCAGGCUCACGCUUGAAUACAUUAGCAUGGAAUAACGAAAUAGGACGUUUGAUUCUAUUUUGUUGGUUUCUAGGAUCGACGUAAUGAUUAAUAGGGAUAGUUGGGGGCAUUAGUAUUCAAUUGUCAGAGAUGAAAUUCUUGGAUUUAUUGAAGACUAACUACUGCGAAAGCAUUUGCCAAGGAUGUUUUCAUUAAUCAAGAACGAAAGUUAAGGGAUCGAAGACGAUCAGAUACUGUCGUAGUCUUAACCAUAAACUAUGCCGAUUAGGGAUCGGAUGAUGUUAAUUUUUUAAUGACUCAUUCGGCGCCUUACA